UUUGAUUGUUUUAAUUGGAUGGCUUAGGAAAUGGUUGGGCCAGAGAAACUGUAUAUAUUGGGAGGGUUUUGAGAGGGUGGUCAGUGAAGUCAGAAUCCUGAGAGACAGAGUCCUGGAAGGAGAGAUCAAGAGAGUCAGCUGGAGAGAGUUUUGGAAGCCAGAGAAGUCAAGUCAGCUGGAGAGAGUCAUUGCUGAAGGUUGAAGAAGACCAUCAACCUUCUGGUCCUGGAAGUCAGUUUGCUGGAGGGAGAAACUCAGCUGAAAUCACGAAGAAGAGGAGGAGGAGGAGGAGCCAGGCUGGAUUGAGCCCCAGACCUGUGCUGUAAUCAGAACCACUCAGCAAGCCAGAAGCUGACAAAGCACAGAAGCACUCUUGAGUAGGAAACAGCAUAGAGUCAGAUGAGUGAAAUGCUUUUGAAAGGCAAGAUUUGUAAAGAAUGCACACCCUCAGAAUGCCAACCACCAUACAAGAUCAUCCACAGAAUUAGUAUUUCAAUUUUCUGCUAAAAGGUGCAACUGCAGAAAUGCCAGCAUUUUUACAUCUAUGGGGUGCACUUCCAUAAACAACAAGUCCCUGCACAGUGUGCAAUCAAGACUCGUCCAGUUGGACCGGCAAGCACAAGAGCCUUUGUUCCUGUCAAUAGGAGAUGAUAUACAAUUUUCUCCAUAAUCCAAUUUCAAAUGGUACAAGCAAGACUGCAAUUUGUUAUAGAUGUACACAAACUCAUGCAUGUGUACUCAAAUGCAAAUUGCAUCACAUUCAAUUGGACUUUAUCCCUAGUCACCACAGAGCAGACUGCAGCCUUACAAUCAACCAACACACGUGUUUAUUAGUUAAAGCAGUAAAGCCCAGUAAUUUAAUUGUUAGGGACAAGAUGGAAGGGCACAUUCAACUUUUAAAGCUAUUGCAGCUCUAGUUUAUUAUAAACCAAGAAUAAAAGCGGGUGGGGGAAAUAGGUGAACUUUUCCUUCCAACAGUGAGCAACAGCAUUCCCUAAAUUUUAAAUUUGUGCAACUUACUUCCAAUAGUCCCCAAACCCCCCACAUGAAGCCGUCAAAGCCAGAUCAGCAAGCUACAAAUUUGGGCUGCCAUUCGGCAACCCUGGGUAUAAGACAUGAAGCUUACGUGGCUCUCUCAGCUUUUCUUGUUUAUCUCCCAAAUCCUAAGAAACCUGGGGGUUUCCUAGAGGUCCCCAGUUACUAAUUGUCUGCAAGUGAAGCAACACUUCCCUGCUGUCAGGAUGGAAGAUUAGAUAGUACUGAGGAUAAAGGAAGUAAAAGUUGAUGCAGACCAUCUGUAUGCAGUCUGAGCACUCCUAUGCAAAACUGUUAUUUUGGCAAUUUCUCUUUCCACACAUUAGAAAUAAGUGUGGAAGUCUAGGGCUGUGGAAAUAUUACACUGGGCAGCAUCCAAACUAAGACUUGCAGGAGCAGAAUGCUUCCUCUCACACCCAGGGGAACGUUAAUUUUCACCAAUCCUCCUAUUCUUCUGCAGCCCCCUGUGCCCACCAAAAAAGUAUCCCCAGGAACUGAGCCCUGAGACAUAUUGUCUGCAGGCAGAGGAACUUGGGGGGGGGGAGAGGAUAUGAGGGGAAAAAUUACCUCUCCCCCAGCACACGUGUUCCACUUGCACAGGCUUUGGUAUGCUGUGUGUUGUACAGAUAUCUGUAGUCAUGUUUUCAUGUGAAUGCUUAUGUGUUCUUUAGAAAUCAGCAUGGGAACUGGACUCCAUAAAUUACUUGUUCUGUACACACUGACUAAUGUGUCAACUGUGUGUGUAUACAAUAAUGUGUACACUGAUAAUUUAUUAGUUCCUUUGACAUGUUAAGAAGAUUUGGGGUGGGGUGAGGUAAAGUAUGGUAGGUCUUUCCCAAAGAAAGUUCUUGUAUAAAGGCUGGAUAACCAGUCCCUGCUCAGACACCCUUUGAAAGGCAGUGUCAUGUAGUAAAGAGAUCAAGGAUGAAAUCCCCUACAUGUCACAGGGAGAGGGGCAAGUAAAGUUAUGGUGGUGGCAUGUCCCUACUCCAACAAGCUCUAGCCAGCGAAGUGAAGAACGAAUUAGAAGAACAUUGGUGCAGUUAUGGUCUCACCACACUUUAUGAAGGAGAGAGGAUAGGCAGCAUCUUCAUGUGUGGUGUCAGCCAAUCAGUCAUUUUCACCCUAGCCUACUUGAUGGGGUGGUUUUGGGGGUGCAGGGUAAUAGCUCCCGUGUAUGACAUUCUGAGCUCUUCAAAGGGAAGACAAAAUUUAGGAAGAGGACAGAAAUCUAGUGUAUCAGCUAUA